CUCGCCUCUGCUUUAUCAUCAUAGUCUUUAACACCACUGCUAUGUGAACUCCUAUGACUACAUGCUUGCUGUCUCGCACAGAAUAACCAAACAGUAGUCUCCACACUUCAGAUACCUAUGAAAAUGGAAAUUAUUUUUUGGCAAACUUUAUAGCAGCUCAGAACAUCCUGCAAAUCCAGACCAUACACAAUAAGUAUUUGAGUGACUCGAAUCCACUAAAAGUUGGGUAUAUUAGAAUCUGGGGUGUGAAUACCUAUGUGACACAAGUCAGUUUCACCUAUGACAACCGGCAAUUUAUGGAGACAAAUUUCAAGAGUGAACCUUAUAAUCAGAUACUAACUAUUCAAUUGACUGACAAGACUAUCAACCUGGAAAAGUUAACUGAGGUUACUUGGAUUGAUGGUGGUCCUGUACUUCCUACUCCAACUAAGACAAGUACCAUCCCAAUGAGUUCUCAUCCUUCUCCAUCUACUACCAAUGCCACCAGUUCUGAGACAAUCACCAGUUCUGCCAGUGCAAAUACUACCACUGGCACUACUGAUACUGUUCCUAUCACAACCACAUCUUUCCCAAGUACUACUAGUGUUACAACUAAUACUACUGUUCCUGAUACAACUUCUCCUUUCCCUACAAGUACUACUAAUGCUAGCACUAAUGCUACUGUUCCUAUCACAACCACACCUUUCCCAACAAGUACUAUUGGUGUUACAACUAAUGCUACUGUUCCCAAUACAACUGCCCCUUUCCCAACAAAUGCUAGUACUGCUAGCACUAAUGCUACUGUUCCUAUCACAACCACAUGUUUUGCAACAAGUACUAUUGGUGUUACAACUAAUGCUACUGUUCCCGAUACAACUGCCCCUUUCCCAACAAAUACUACUACUGCUAGCACUAAUGCUACUAUUCCUAUCACAACCACACCUUUUGCAACAAGUACUAUUAGUGUUACAACUAGUACUACUGUUCCUGAUACAACUGCUCCUUUCCCUACAAGUACUACUAGUGCUAGCACUAAUGCUACCCCUGUUCCUAUCACAACCACACUUUUUGCAACAAGUACUAUUGGUGUUACAACUGGUACUACUGUUCCUGAUACAACUGCUCCUUUCCCUACAAGUACUACUAGUACUAGCACUAGUGCUACUGUUCCUAUUACAACCACACCUUCCCCUACAAAUACUGCUGAUGCUAACACUAGUAAUACUGUUCCUAAUACCACUAUGCCUUCUCCUACAAGUAGUACUACUGUGAGUACUAUUGCUACCGUUCCCAUUUCAGUGACUCCUUCUCUGACAAGUACUGCUGAUGCCACCAUUAGUACUACUGUACUUAUUGCCACUACUUCUUCUCUAACAGGUACUACUGAUGUUAGCACUAGUACUACUAUUAAUAAUAUAAGUACUCCUGUUCAAACAAAUACUACUAAUGCUAGCACUAGUACUAAUGUUGCUAAUAUAACUGCUACCUCUCAUACAAGUACUGAUGAUACUGUUCCUAAUAAUACUGUUCCAGUUACAGCUAUUCCUUCUCUUGCAAAUACUGGUGUUGACACUACUAGCAACAGUUUUUCCAUUAUGACCACUUCUUUCUCUGAAAGUACUAAUGCUAUGAACACUACUGUUAUUAUGGCAACUACUUCUCCUACAAGUACUGAUGUUGCUAGCACAAAUAAUGAUGCUUCUAUGACAAAUUUUCUUUUAGCUACAAUGUCUGCUGGUAAUAUAACUAGUAAUAGUAUUUCCAUAACAACUACUUCUUUUGGUAAUAGUGUUCCUUUUGUGACUACUCCUUCUCCAAGUACUGAUGCUACUACUACAAGUAAUAAUACUAAUCCUGGCAUGACUACUUAUUACCAGACUUCUCCUACCAUUCCUACCCAUACUCUUACUUCUAUUCCUAGCUCUAUUACUUCUAUUUUGAGCAUGUUUCCAACAAGUAAUACAUUCACUACUGAUAAAAUUACUAAUUUUACUACCCCUACAAAUGCAAACACCAUUAUUUUCAACACUCUUGAUACAAAAAGUACCAUGGUAAUAGAUGCUACGGUCACUACUACCAGCACCAAAGAUAAUACCAUGAGUCCAGAUACAACAGUUACUUCCAUAGACAAAUUCACCACACACAUCACACAGUUCGCUACUCCCCAUUCUGCUACUACUACAACACUGGCCUUAAGCCACACCUCAUUAGCUCCUACAAAUCUUUCUAAUCUAGGCACCAUGGAUAUUACUGAUGCAGAUAACUCCAGCAGUGUUACAGGUAACACGACACACAUUUCUGUUUCAAAUCUCACAACAGCCUCAGUCACAAUAACAGCCACUGGUCUAGAUUCACAAACUCCCCAUAUGGUAAUAAAUUCUGUGGCUACUUAUUUACCUAUUACUGCAACUAGUGCUACCACAGAUACUACAAAUAUUACAAAAUAUGCUUUAAAUACUACCACUCCUGAUAGUACAGUACAUACCUCUGCUACUGCACCUACUUAUAUUGCAAAUGCCAUAAAUGCUACUCAAGUUCCAUGAUUACUACUCAAGGCAGGAUAGUUACCUCAGAUAACGCCUACAAACAACUAUUACAGAUAUAGAAAAUCAGUUACGAGACACUCUAUCUAUCUUAUGCUACUUAAGUUUUCACGGAUAUUAGUACUCUAGCCAUAAAAGACACAGCUACUCCAAACACUCUCGUCAUUGCAGACAUGUUUAGGAAGGUUUACAAACCUUAUAGGUUUCACCAAAGAAGCUGUGGGUACUUAUUUUGCAACCAUAGUAUGUGCUCUUAUUCUUUUAAAUUAUAGUUAUUACUCCUAUAACCUCAUCAGUUAAACUACAGAUGUUUUAUAUAUCCUAUAUAUCCUUGCUACAGAUUUCACAGGUAAUUUUGGUAUCUCAGAUAACACCACAUUAGGCUCUGUAAAUACUAUUGCCUUAGAUUUAGUUACUGAAAUAGCCCAACUUGUUUCUUGGGUCACAUGACGUACCAUAACUGAG
rnacentral:lncRNA from 1 species